rnacentral:rRNA from 1 species
UACGUAGGUGGCGAGCGUUGUCCGGAUUUACUGGGCGUAAAGGGAGCGUAGGCUGACUUUUAAGUGAGAUGUGAAAUGCCCGGGCUCAACUUGGGUGCUGCAUUUCAAACUGGAAGUCUAGAGUGCAGGAGAGGAGAAUGGAAUUCCUAGUGUAGCGGUGAAAUGCGUAGAGAUUAGGAAGAACACCAGUGGCGAAGGCGAUUCUCUGGACUGUAACUGACGCUGAGGCUCGAAAGCGUGGGGAGCAAACAGGAUUAGA